CCGAGGAGAGCCCAGCUCCAGGGCAGAAGGAGGGAGGCACCGAUGUGACCAGCCUGGGAAGGUGUCAGGGUAACACUUAUUUCCAUUCCAAAGCAGCAAUGAAGACAAUGGGACUGUAGGAGAAUUCAGCAAACACAGUUUAUUCAACCAGGAACAGAGUUACUAUCUCGUCAGAAACAACACAAGAUAUCUCAUAUCUGCCCUCCUGGG
rnacentral:lncRNA from 1 species